rnacentral:lncRNA from 1 species
UCGAGAUUAUCUUCAGCAGUAACUCAGAAUUCUUCAUUCCCGUACUUAAGUAUCUUGUCAACAAGCGACUUACUAACUCGGAUUGGUUCCAUACUUUGAGGAGUAACUGGAACUGAUUCAGGAAUAGGAGGGGGUGGAGGUUGCGGAGCAGCCGGGUUCAUCUGUACAAACUCCAUAAACCAUUCGUUCAUCAUUUAGAAGAAAGCUUCUUUAGCCUCUCCUCCUCAGCCCUUAGAUACGAGCCUUGUACUUCUCAAUGCUAC